CCUACGGGAGGCAGCAGUGAGGAAUAUUGGUCAAUGGACGUAAGUCUGAACCAGCCAAGCCGCGUGCAGGAAGAAGGCUCUAUGAGUUGUAAACUGCUUUUGUACAAGGGUAAACCUGAAUACGUGUAUUCAGCUGAAAGUACUGUACGAAUAAGGAUCGGCUAACUCCGUGCCAGCAGCCGCGGUAAUACGGAGGAUCCAAGCGUUAUCCGGAUUUAUUGGGUUUAAAGGGUGCGUAGGCGGAUUUAUAAGUUAGAGGUGAAAUGUCCGAGCUUAACUCGGGAACUGCCUCUAAUACUGUUGAGCUAGAGAGUAUAUGCGGUAGGCGGAAUGUAUGGUGUAGCGGUGAAAUGCUUAGAGAUCAUACAGAACACCGAUUGCGAAGGCAGCUUACCAAGCUAUAUCUGACGUUGAGGCACGAAAGCGUGGGGAGCAAACAGGAUUAGAUACCCUUGUAGUC
rnacentral:rRNA from 1 species